UACGAGGGGUGCAAGCGUUAAUCGGAAUUACUGGGCGUAAAGCGUGCGCAGGCGGUUCUAUAAGACAGAUGUGAAAUCCCCGGGCUCAACCUGGGAACUGCAUUUGUGACUGUAGAGCUGGAGUACGGUAGAGGGGGAUGGAAUUCCUGGUGUAGCGGUGAAAUGCGCAGAUAUCAGGAGGAACACCAAUGGCGAAGGCAGCUCGCUGGGACGGUACUGACGCUGAGACGCGAAGGCGUGGGGAGCAAACAGG
rnacentral:rRNA from 1 species